UUCCCUUUUUAUAUUUUGUAUAGGGAGGUAUUUUGCGGUUGUAGGGGUGCGCUUGUUGAGGGGAGGUUGAUCCUUGACUCCGUAGCAGCGCAGCUUCUUCCUCCCCUCUUAUUUCUUCGAAUAUUGGGAUGGGCGGUUGAUUUUUUUUUUUUUUCAAGAAGUUGGCAUUGCAAAUGAAAAGUACUGGUAGCCUACAACGGAUAGUCGACAAGAAUAAUAAGUUGUUGUGUAUGAAUCA
rnacentral:lncRNA from 1 species